AGCGCAGGCGGGCCGGUUAGUCUAAAGUGGAAUCCCAGGGCUCAACCCUGGACGUGCUUUGGAUACUGCCGGUCUUGAGUUCGUGAGAGGAAAGUGGAAUUCAGGGUGUAGCGGUGAAAUGCUUAGAUAUCCUGAGGAACACCAAUGGCGAAAGCGACUUUCUGGCACGAAACUGACGCUGAGGCUCGAAAGCAUGGGUAGCGAACG
rnacentral:rRNA from 1 species